GGAUUGUGGCUCAGUGGUACAGCGCUUGCCUAGCAGGGGUGGGACCUGGGUUCCAUUCUCAGCACCA
rnacentral:tRNA from 1 species